UACGUAGGCAGCAAGCGUUGUUCGGAGUUACUGGGCGUAAAGGGUGCGUAGGCGGUCCUAUAAGUAUGGUGUGAAAUCUCCCGGCUUAACUGGGAGGGUGCGCUAUGGACUGUGGGACUAGAGUGUGGGAGAGGAAAGUGGAAUUCCUGGUGUAGCGGUGAAAUGCGUAGAUAUCAGGAGGAACACCGGUGGUGUAAACGGCUUUCUGGACCAUAACUGACGCUGAGGCACGAAAGCGUGGGUAGCAAACAGG
rnacentral:rRNA from 1 species